rnacentral:lncRNA from 1 species
CCUGUCCCAAACUGAGCCUAUCCCGGGAUAAAACCACCCCAAAUCCUGUCCCAAACUGAGCCCUGUCCUGGGAUAAAACCACCCCAAAUCCUGUCCCAAACUGAGCCCUGUCCUGGGAUAAAACCACCCCAAAUCCUGUCCCAAACUGAGCCCUAUCCCGGGAUAAAACCACCCCAAAUCCUGUCCCAAACUGAGCCCUAUCCCGGGAUAAAACCACCCCAAAUCCUGUCCCAAACUGAGCCCUGUCCCGGGAGGGAAUCCUGCCCUGCCCAUUAUCCUAGCAUAAAUCCAGCCAACUUCCCACUAGGACUGAGGGAAUCCUGUCCCAAACCCCCACUCCUCCCAGGGAAUCCUAUCCCAAAUGGAUCCCUUAUCCCAGAUCCCCACUCCUCCCAGGGAAUCCUGUCCCAAAUGGAUCCCUUAUCUCAGAUCCCCACUCCUCCCAUGGAAUCCUAUCCCAAAUGGAUUCCUGUCCCAAACCCCCACUUCUCCCAUGGAAUCCUAUCCCAAACGGAUCCCUUAUCUCAGAUCCCCACUCCUCCCGGGAAUCCUGUCCCAAACUGAUCCCUUAUCCCAAACCCCCACUUCUCCCAUGGAAUCCUGUCCCAAACGGAUCCCUUAUCCCAAACCCCCACUCCUCCCGGGAUUCCUAUCCCAAACGGAUCCCUUAUCCCAAACCCCCACUCCUCCCGGGGAAUCCUGUCCCAAACUGAUCCCUUAUCCCAAACCCCCACUCCUCCCGGGGAAUCCUGUCCCAAACGGGUCCCUUAUCUCAGAUCCUCACUCCUCCUAUGGAAUCCUAUCCGAAAUGAACCCUUAUCCCAAACCCCCACUCCUCCCAGGAUUCCUAUCCCAAAUGGAUCUCUUAUCCCAAACCCCCACUCCUCCCAGGGAAUCCUGUUCCAAACGGGUCCCUUAUCCCAAACCCCCACUCCUCCCGGGGAAUCCUGUCCCAAACGGAUCCCUGUCCCAAACCCCCACUCCUCCCAUGGAAUCCUGUCCCAAACGGAUUCCUGUCCCAAACCCCCACUCCUCCCAGGGAAUCGUAUCCCAAAUGAACCCUUAUCCCAAACCCCCACUCCUCCCGGGGAAUCCUGUCCCAAAUGGAUCCCUUAUCUCAGAUCCCCACUCCUCCCAGGGAAUCCUGUUCCAAACGGGUCCCUUAUCCCAAACCCCCACUCCUCCCGGGAUUCCUAUCCCAAACGGAUCCCUUAUCCCAAACCCCCACUCCUCCCAGGGAAUCCUGUUCCAAACGGAUCCCUUAUCCCAAACCCCCACUCCUCCCAGGGAAUCNNNNNNNN